UGGGCUAGACAACGGCGGACCAUCCUAUUUCUAGGAUGGUCCGCCGUUGUCUAGCCCAGGUAAGGUUCUUCGCGUUGCGUCGAAUUGAACCACAUGCUCCACCGCUUGUGCGGGCCCCCGUCAAUUCCUUUGAGUUUUAAUCUUGCGACCGUACUCCCCAGGCGGGGCACUUAAUGCGUUAGCUGCGGCACCCAGGGGGUCAAUACCCCGGACACCUAGUGCCCAUCGUUUACAGCGUGGACUAC
rnacentral:misc_RNA from 1 species